ACUCAAAUGAAUAGACGGGGACUCGCACAAGCGGUGGAGCAUGUGGUUUAAUUCGACGAUACGCGAAGAACCUUACCCACACUUGACAUCCUGGGAAUCCUGACGAGAGUCGGGAGUGCCUUCAGGAGCCCAGUGACAGGUGUUGCAUGGCCGUCGUCAGCUCGUGUCGUGAGAUGUUGGGUUAAGUCCCGCAACGAGCGCAACCCUUAUUGCAUGUUGUAUUUUUCAUGCGAUACUGCCGGUGACAAAUCGGAGGAAGGUGGGGACGAAGUCAGGUCAGCAUGGCCCUUACGUGUGGGGCUACACACGUGCUACAAUGGCUGGUACAACGGGUCGCUAAGUCGCAAGACGGAGCUAAUCCCACCAAAACCAGUCCCAGUUCGGAUUGUAGGCUGCAACUCGCCUACAUGAAGUCGGAAUCGCUAGUAACCGCAGGUCAGCAUACUGCGGUGAAUACGUUCUCGAGUCUUGCACACACCGCCCGU
rnacentral:rRNA from 1 species